UACGAAGGGUGCUAGCGUUGUUCGGAAUCACUGGGCGUAAAGCGCGCGUAGGCGGUUAUUCAAGUCAGGGGUGAAAUCCUGGGGCUCAACCCCAGAAUUGCCCUUGAAACUAAAUAACUAGAGUGUCGGAGGGGAUAGCGGAAUUGCUAAUGUAGCGGUGAAAUGCGUAGAUAUUAGCAGGAACACCGGUGGCGAAGGCGGCUAUCUGGACGACAACUGACGCUGAGGCGCGAAAGCGUGGGGAUCAAACAGG
rnacentral:rRNA from 1 species